rnacentral:rRNA from 1 species
ACGAGACACGUGAAACCUUGUGGGAAGCAGGGAGGACCACCUCCCAAGGCUAAAUACUACCUGAUGACCGAUAGUGAAGCAGUACCGUGAGGGAAAGGUGAAAAGAACCCCGGGAGGGGAGUGAAAUAGAACCUGAAACCGUGUGCCUACAACCGCUCAGAGCCCCUUAUGAGGGUGAUGAGGUGCUUUUUGUAGAACGAGCCAACGAGUUACGGUAUGUAGCAAGGUUAAGUACUUAAGGUACGGAGCCGAAGGGAAACCGAGUCUGAAUAGGGCGACUAGUUGCAUGCCGUAGACCCGAAACCGGGUGACCUAUCCAUGGCCAGGUUGAAGCGAGGGUAAAACCUCGUGGAGGACCGAACCACGUUGCUGUUGAAAAAGCAUGGGAUGAGCUGUGGAUAGCGGAGAAAUUCCAAUCGAACCCGGAGAUAGCUGGUUCUCUCCGAAAUAGCUUUAGGGCUAGCGUCGAGUAUGAGUAGUGGAGGUAGAGCACUGAAUGGGCUAGGGGGCAUAGCGCUUACCGAACCUUAUCAAACUCCGAAUGCCACAUACUUUGAGCUCGGCAGUCAGACUACGAAUGAUAAGAUCCGUGGUCAAAAGGGAAACAGCCCAGAUCGUCAGCUAAGGUCCCAAAGUGUAAGUUAAGUGGGAAAGGAUGUGAGAUUUCUAAGACAACUAGGAUGUUGGCUUAGAAGCAGCCAUUCAUUAAAAGAGUGCGUAAUAGCUCACUAGUCGAGAGAUCUUGCGCCGAAAAUGUAACGGGGCUAAACUUACCA